rnacentral:rRNA from 1 species
GCAAUUCAGCAUAAUUUGAUUUAUUUCAAAUUUACUUGUUAUGAUGGUUUCUAGUCUGUUUAAAAAAAGUAUUUUUUAGUUUUUGUAUUUAUUAAAGAUAUAAUUUUUUUUUGGUAAUAAAAUAUUUGUACUGUAAAGGUUUAUUGAAAUAUAGUUGAAUUAUUGAUUAAGUUUAUUUUAUUUAUUGUACCUUGUGUAUCAGGGUUAAUUAAUAAUUUAUUAUAAACUUUAGUGUUCUCGAUUUCAUGGGAGUUAAUUUAUUAUUUUAGUUAUUGUUUUAUAAAUAUUAAUAAUGAUGAAUUGGGAGUGAAAUGUUAAUCGUUCAUGAAGAUAUCUAGUUUUUUGGGAAAUAAAUUUAAUUUACAUUUAUUCUUUAAUUUUUUUUCUUUUUAAUUUAAUUUAAGUUUAAAUGAAUAAUAAGGGGGAUAAGCUCUUUUUUAAAUUUUCUAUAAAAUAUAAUUUAUUUAAUUUAAUUGUGUGGAUUUAAUGAUGAUUAUCAUUAUAAAUAUGUUAAAAUUUUACUUUAUUCAUUAUUUGAUUUAUGGAUUUUUAGAUUUUAUACUAAAAAUUUUUAAUAAACUUCUUCUUAAUUUUUAUUAUGAUUAAAUUAGUAUAUAAAUAUAAUUUAUUUAAUUUUUUUUAUUUGUAGUAGGUUUGAGGAAUUAGGCAAAAAGAUUUAUUCGCCUGUUUAACAAAAACAUCUUUUCUUGUAUUUGAAUAUGAAAUAUGACCUGCUCAAUGAAUUUUAAAUAGCCGCGGUAUAUUGACCGUGCAAAGGUAGCAUAAUCAUUAGUCUUUUAAUUAAGGGCUGGAAUGAAUGGUUGGACGAGAUAAUAACUUUCUUAAAUUUAUUGAUUUGAAUUUAAUUGUUGUGUUAAAAAGCUCAAAUUUUUUUUUGGGACGAGAAGACCCUAUAGAAUUUAAUAAUUUAUCUAAUUGUUAGUUUUUGAUGAUUUAAUAAUUGUAUUAAAUUAUUUUGUUGGGGUGAUGUAAAGAUAUAAUGAACUCUUUUAUUUAUUGUUUAUAAAUUAAUAUUUAUUUGAUCCAUUUUUAGUGAUUAAAAGAUAAAAUUACCUUAGGGAUAACAGCGUAAUCUUUUUUGAGAGUUCUUAUUGACAAUAAGGGUUGCGACCUCGAUGUUGGAUUAAGAUAAUUCUCAGGUGCAAGAGCUUGAGGGGAAGGUCUGUUCGACCUUUAAAUUCUUACAUGAUCUGAGUUCAAACCGGUGUGAGCCAGGUUGGUUUCUAUCUAUUAAUAAUUUAAUUAUUUUAGUACGAAAGGACCAAGUAAUGAAAAUAAUUUUUGUUAAUUGAAUAAUAUUAAUAAUUAACUAUUUUGGCAGAUAAGUGCAAUGGGUUUAGAAUCUAUAAAUG